rnacentral:misc_RNA from 1 species
GGUUUGAGGGGGGCAAAGAAAAAUUAAGGAAAGUUGAGUUCGCUCUAACCGGAUGUAACCUUUUCCGAGCCUCAUUAUGAAGUCUAAUUAUUAUUGGAUUUCGAAAAAUUUCUAACAACUAAUACAACUUUUAACAAUGGAUCUCUUGG